CAGCAGCCGCGGUAAUACGUAGGGUGCGAGCGUUAAUCGGAAUUACUGGGCGUAAAGGGCUCGCAGGCGGUUUCUUAAGUCUGAUGUGAAAGCCCCCGGCUCAACCGGGGAGGGUCAUUGGAAACUGGGAAACUUGAGUGCAGAAGAGGAGAGUGGAAUUUCCAGUGUAGAGGUGAAAUUCGUAGAUAUUGGAAAGAACACCGGUGGCGAAGGCGGCGACCUGGUCUUUAACUGACGCUGAGGCGCGAAAGCGUGGGGAGCAAACAGGAUUAGAUACCCGAGUAGUCCCUGUCUCUUAUAC
rnacentral:rRNA from 1 species